rnacentral:rRNA from 1 species
GGGUUGUGAGGUUAAGCGACUAAGCGUACACGGUGGAUGCCCUGGCAGUCAGAGGCGAUGAAGGACGUGCUAAUCUGCGAAAAGCGCCGGCGAGGUGAUAUGAACCCUUGACCCGGCGAUGUCCGAAUGGGGAAACCCAGUGUGAUUCGUCACACUAUCGUUAACUGAAUACAUAGGUUAACGAGGCGAACCGGGGGAACUGAAACAUCUAAGUACCCGAGGAAAAGAAAUCAACCGAGAUUCCCCAGUAGCGGCGAGCGAACGGGGAGCAGCCCAGAGUCUGAAUCAGCUUGUGUGUUAGUGGAAGCGUCUGGAAAGUCGCACGGUACAGGGUGAAAGUCCCGUACACGAAAAUGCACAGGCUGUGAACUCGAAGAGUAGGGCGGGACACGUGGUAUCCUGUCUGAAUAUGGGGGACCAUCCUCCAAGGCUAAAUACUCCUGACUGACCGAUAGUGAACCAGUACCGUGAGGGAAAGGCGAAAAGAACCCCGGCGAGGGGAGUGAAAAAGAACCUGAAACCGUGUACGUACAAGCAGUGGGAGCACCUUCGUGGUGUGACUGCGUACCUUUUGUAUAAUGGGUCAGCGACUUAUAUUCUGUAGCAAGGUUAACCGUAUAGGGGAGCCGAAGGGAAACCGAGUCUUAACUGGGCGUUAAGUUGCAGGGUAUAGACCCGAAACCCGGUGAUCUAGCCAUGGGCAGGUUGAAGGUUGGGUAACACUAACUGGAGGACCGAACCGACUAAUGUUGAAAAAUUAGCGGAUGACCUGUGGCUGGGGGUGAAAGGCCAAUCAAACCGGGAGAUAGCUGGUUCUCCCGAAAGCUAUUUAGGUAGCGCCUCGUGAACUCAUCUUCGGGGUAGAGCACUGUUUCGGCUAGGGGCCAUCCCGGCUUACCAACCCGAUGCAAACUACGAAUACCGAAGAAUGUUAUCACGGGAGACACACGGCGGGUGCUAACGUCCGUCGUGAAGAGGGAAACAACCCAGACCGCCAGCUAAGGUCCCAAAGUCAUGGUUAAGUGGGAAACGAUGUGGGAAGGCCCAGACAGCCAGGAUGUUGGCUUAGAAGCAGCCAUCAUUUAAAGAAAGCGUAAUAGCUCACUGGUCGAGUCGGCCUGCGCGGAAGAUGUAACGGGGCUAAACCAUGCACCGAAGCUGCGGCAGCGACACUCUGUGUUGUUGGGUAGGGGAGCGUUCUGUAAGCCGUUGAAGGUGGCCUGUGAGGGUUGCUGGAGGUAUCAGAAGUGCGAAUGCUGACAUAAGUAACGAUAAAGCGGGUGAAAAGCCCGCUCGCCGGAAGACCAAGGGUUCCUGUCCAACGUUAAUCGGGGCAGGGUGAGUCGACCCCUAAGGCGAGGCCGAAAGGCGUAGUCGAUGGGAAACAGGUUAAUAUUCCUGUACUUGGUGUUACUGCGAAGGGGGGACGGAGAAGGCUAUGUUAGCCGGGCGACGGUUGUCCCGGUUUAAGCAUGUAGGCGGAGGUUCCAGGUAAAUCCGGUACCUUUUAACGCUGAGGUGUGAUGACGAGGCACUACGGUGCUGAAGUAACAAAUGCCCUGCUUCCAGGAAAAGCCUCUAAGCAUCAGGUAACACGAAAUCGUACCCCAAACCGACACAGGUGGUCAGGUAGAGAAUACCAAGGCGCUUGAGAGAACUCGGGUGAAGGAACUAGGCAAAAUGGUGCCGUAACUUCGGGAGAAGGCACGCUGAUAUGUAGGUGAAGCCCCUGCGGGUGGAGCUGAAAUCAGUCGAAGAUACCAGCUGGCUGCAACUGUUUAUUAAAAACACAGCACUGUGCAAACACGAAAGUGGACGUAUACGGUGUGACGCCUGCCCGGUGCCGGAAGGUUAAUUGAUGGGGUUAGCGGUAACGCGAAGCUCUUGAUCGAAGCCCGGUAAACGGCGGCCGUAACUAUAACGGUCCUAAGGUAGCGAAAUUCCUUGUCGGGUAAGUUCCGACCUGCACGAAUGGCGUAAUGAUGGCCAGGCUGUCUCCACCCGAGACUCAGUGAAAUUGAACUCGCUGUGAAGAUGCAGUGUACCCGCGGCAAGACGGAAAGACCCGUGAACCUUUACUAUAGCUUGACACUGAACACUGGUCCUUGAUGUGUAGGAUAGGUGGGAGGCUUUGAAGCGUGGACGCCAGUCUGCGUGGAGCCGUCCUUGAAAUACCACCCUUUAAUGGCUGGUGUUCUAACGUAGACCCGUAAUCCGGGUUGCGGACAGUGUCUGGUGGGUAGUUUGACUGGGCGGUCUCCUCCCAAAGAGUAACGGAGGAGCACGAAGGUUAGCUAAUCCUGGUCGGACAUCAGGAGGUUAGUGCAAUGGCAUAAGCUAGCUUGACUGCGAGAGUGACGGCUCGAGCAGGUGCGAAAGCAGGUCAUAGUGAUCCGGUGGUUCUGAAUGGAAGGGCCAUCGCUCAACGGAUAAAAGGUACUCCGGGAUAACAGGCUGAUACCGCCCAAGAGUUCAUAUCGACGGCGGUGUUUGGCACCUCGAUGUCGGCUCAUCACAUCCUGGGGCUGAAGUAGGUCCCAAGGGUAUGGCUGUUCGCCAUUUAAAGUGGUACGCGAGCUGGGUUUAGAACGUCGUGAGACAGUUCGGUCCCUAUCUGCCGUGGGCGCUGGAGAAUUGAGGGGGGCUGCUCCUAGUACGAGAGGACCGGAGUGGACGCAUCACUGGUGUUCGGGUUGUCAUGCCAAUGGCACUGCCCGGUAGCUAAAUGCGGAAGAGAUAAGUGCUGAAAGCAUCUAAGCACGAAACUUGCCCGAGAUGAGUUCUCCCUGAGACUUCAAGUCUCCUGAAGGAACGUUGAAGACGACGACGUUGAUAGGUCGGGUGUGUAAGCGCAGCGAUGCGUUGAGCUAACCGAUACUAAUGAACCGUGAGGCUUAACCUUACAACGCCGAAG